UACGAAGGGGGCUAGCGUUGUUCGGAAUUAUUGGGCGUAAAGGGCGCGUAGGCGGUUUGACAAGUCUGAUGUGAAAUCUCUGGGCUCAACCCAGAGUCUGCAUUAGAAACUGUCGGGCUUGAGUAUGGGAGAGGUGAGUGGAAUUUCCGGUGUAGCGGUGAAAUGCGUAGAUAUCGGAAGGAACACCUGUGGCGAAAGCGGCUCACUGGACCAUAACUGACGCUGAGGCGCGAAAGCUAGGGGAGCAAACAGG
rnacentral:rRNA from 1 species